rnacentral:rRNA from 1 species
GAUGAACGCUGGCGGCGUGCCUAAUACAUGCAAGUCGAGCGAACGGACGAGAAGCUUGCUUCUCUGAUGUUAGCGGCGGACGGGUGAGUAACACGUGGAUAACCUACCUAUAAGACUGGGAUAGCUUCGGGAAACCGGAGCUAAUACCGGAUGAUAUAUUGAACCGCAUGGUUCAAAAGUGAAAGACGGUCUUGCUGUCACUUAUAGAUGGAUCCGCGCCGCAUUAGCUAGUUGGUAAGGUAACGGCUUACCAAGGCAACGAUGCAUAGCCGACCUGAGAGGGUGAUCGGCCACACUGGAACUGAGACACGGUCCAGACUCCUACGGGAGGCAGCAGUAGGGAAUCUUCCGCAAUGGGCGAAAGCCUGACGGAGCAACGCCGCGUGAGUGAUGAAGGUCUUCGGAUCGUAAAACUCUGUUAUUAGGGAAGAACAAAUGUGUAAGUAACUAUGCACAUCUUGACGGUACCUAAUCAGAAAGCCACGGCUAACUACGUG